rnacentral:rRNA from 1 species
CCUGGCUCAGGAUGAACGCUAGCUACAGGCUUAACACAUGCAAGUCGAGGGGCAGCAUGGUCUUAGCUUGCUAAGGCCGAUGGCGACCGGCGCACGGGUGAGUAACACGUAUCCAACCUGCCGUCUACUCUUGGACAGCCUUCUGAAAGGAAGAUUAAUACAAGAUGGCAUCAUGAGUCCGCAUGUUCACAUGAUUAAAGGUAUUCCGGUAGACGAUGGGGAUGCGUUCCAUUAGAUAGUAGGCGGGGUAACGGCCCACCUAGUCUUCGAUGGAUAGGGGUUCUGAGAGGAAGGUCCCCCACAUUGGAACUGAGACACGGUCCAAACUCCUACGGGAGGCAGCAGUGAGGAAUAUUGGUCAAUGGGCGAGAGCCUGAACCAGCCAAGUAGCGUGAAGGAUGACUGCCCUAUGGGUUGUAAACUUCUUUUAUAAAGGAAUAAAGUCGGGUAUGGAUACCCGUUUGCAUGUACUUUAUGAAUAAGGAUCGGCUAACUCCGUGCCAGCAGCCGCGGUAAUACGGAGGAUCCGAGCGUUAUCCGGAUUUAUUGGGUUUAAAGGGAGCGUAGAUGGAUGUUUAAGUCAGUUGUGAUAGUUUGCGGCUCAACCGUAAAAUUGCAGUUGAUACUGGAUAUCUUGAGCGCAGUUGAGGCAGGCGGAAUUCGUGGUGUAGCGGUGAAAUGCUUAGAUAUCACGAAGAACUCCGAUUGCGAAGGCAGCCUGCUAAGCUGCAACUGACAUUGAGGCUCGAAAGUGUGGGUAUCAAACAGGAUUAGAUACCCUGGUAGUCCACACGGUAAACGAUGAAUACUCGCUGUUUGCGAUAUACUGCAAGCGGCCAAGCGAAAGCGUUAAGUAUUCCACCUGGGGAGUACGCCGGCAACGGUGAAACUCAAAGGAAUUGACGGGGGCCCGCACAAGCGGAGGAACAUGUGGUUUAAUUCGAUGAUACGCGAGGAACCUUACCCGGGCUUAAAUUGCAGAUGAAUUACGGUGAAAGCCGUAAGCCGCAAGGCAUCUGUGAAGGUGCUGCAUGGUUGUCGUCAGCUCGUGCCGUGAGGUGUCGGCUUAAGUGCCAUAACGAGCGCAACCCUUGUUGUCAGUUACUAACAGGUUCCGCUGAGGACUCUGACAAGACUGCCAUCGUAAGAUGUGAGGAAGGUGGGGAUGACGUCAAAUCAGCACGGCCCUUACGUCCGGGGCUACACACGUGUUACAAUGGGGGGUACAGAGGGCCGCUACCACGCGAGUGGAUGCCAAUCCCCAAAACCUCUCUCAGUUCGGACUGGAGUCUGCAACCCGACUCCACGAAGCUGGAUUCGCUAGUAAUCGCGCAUCAGCCACGGCGCGGUGAAUACGUUCCCGGGCCUUGUACACAC